CUGUCAGAGUUCGCAUGGAUCACAAGAUCGCUACUUUUCACUGUCGUUGUCGUCACGGCCUUGUCCAAAUCGAACUGUCUGAGCUACUGAUGCCCUACAACCCGAGACGAUCUCUUCCAUGUGCACAAGCAGAUAUGCGUAGGCAAUAGGUCCUACUGCGCAUGCGCAAAUAUUUGUUUACAUCCGGAAACUACUAGCAGGCAGCAGACGACAGUACUGCAGAUCUACCUAAGAAAUAACUAGAAAAUUAAAGAUCUUGGAUAAGGAAAAAUCACAUGUGCUUAUAGCAAGGGAAACAAGAAUGUGGAAGAAAAAGCUGAAACUCCACAAGUGACAAGUACAAACCGGAAGUUUUCAUCGGCACUUACAGGAGCUCGAUGUUAGUGCCAGACUGUGAUGUCCUCUGACGCCUCGUUCCCCAAUAUACAAACUUGAGAGGUACGUACAUCUUUAAUUCCCGUAAUUAAAGUAAAGAACACGUAAUUUUUUAAUUAUUCUGUAUAAAUUAGUAUAAAUUUCAUUUUCUAUGCUGCUUUUCUGCUUUCAUUGAACGUUUUCCUUGAUGAAGGCAAUUUUGGAGUUCCCGCUAACACGCCACCUCGCGUACCUGUUUUUUGCUUUUCUUUGCUUGUUGCUUUUUUUCACAACAAUGAUUGCUUUCUGGUUUCUGACAGAGAUAAUCCUGCACAUCAUAUUAUAAAGUGAAACAGCUAAAAUGCUAAAAGCGUGCGCACGCAUACACACACAGAUUGCAUCAAGUGAUGUCCAUAAGACUGGUCUUCUUCUAAUUUGUCUUUACCUUCAUUUCAGUUUUUGUUCUUUAGCAUGAACGUUUAUACAAAAAUAUCCGAUUUUGAUACAGAUGCUUUUUUUUCACCACUUGCAGAGUUGGCUAUAUUGAAAAACAAAAGAAAUACAUCAUUUUGUCAUGCACUAUGUUCUGAGAAUUCUCCAUGAGUCUGUCCACUGCUGACAGCCUGUUCAGAGAUGUGAUAGCUCAGCAACCGGUGAGGUUUACUUCAUAGGUCAAAUGCGGAUUCUGCUUUCGGUUAUCCAGCUACACAUGCACUUCCUUCCAACGCCUCUUUGGUCGCCACUGUUAUCUGUCAUCUAGCCCUCUGAGCGACUACGACAUAGCUCACAGCCCUUCCGCCAACCACACUACGCCGCACUCUAUCUCGAUAAAGCACGCGACCAAGACGUGUUUUCUUUGGUGGGCCAUGCGUAUAAAUACUGCUUACCCCAUGCCUAAGGAGAAUGUACAAACAAGAAAAAUCUGUGUAAAAUCGGGUGAACUGUUUGUUAACACAAUGAAAAAUACGCGGAAACCAAGAAAGGCAACCUCUUGGAAGAAACCUGGUCUACACAGAGCACAGAGCACAGAUUUUCUUUGGCUGGUCAAACCAUUAGUGCGUUUGUAUGCAUGUCCCGUUGAUCACAUACGAGUCUGAUACAAAACUGACCACAGACAGGCGGCUGACCAGAAGUCCAGAGCUGUUGACAGUCCAAACAGCUGAAUGUCCGUUCGAUACAAUUUCCUUGAUCGAUAUUCCGCGAUAUUAGACUUGCAGCUGAACACUGAUAGCGAAAAUGCUUCCAGGCCGGCGUUCCCGCAGUAUGCAAAGCAGUUAAAGGUUCGCUAGAGAGUUUGUGUCUGGUUUUUUGUACCGGAAUAAGCUCUGUACAAGCAUGACUUCACAAAAUCCGCUUUCCAUUACUUCAGAAUUCUUGAGGUACAAACUUGUGAAGCAAAACAUCGUCAAGCAAAGAAAGACACAAAACGCUGACACCGUUAUCUAUCUACAUAAUGACCUACAUUAUCGACACUGCAGUCGAUGAGACAGCUAAGUUCAUCUGUUAGCUAUGCUAAUCCUUAGCAUUUGUGACGUCACAGGUCUAUUGACGGCGAUGUUUAUAGGCUUGUGUCUCUAGAUAGUAAUGGAAAGGAGACUUACUCACUAGGGAUACAGUUGUUUUUUUUUUUUUUUAAGAAGGCUCCACCCAAUGGUUAACUCAACAAAUAUCUGCACUAUUGCAGAGCUUUAACAACCGCCCAAAAGGCCAUCAGAAUGCAUUUAGCUACAUCACACACCCAAAGAUGGAGUCCUUUACGACCGCAGACAAGAUGUUUAUCGCUGGCCGGCUGCGUGUAAGGACGGGCACAAAGCUGCAUGACAAGAAUGCAGAAGCUCGAGCAUUUGUAACAAGGUCCGAUAGGCAUACGAUCUGGAGGUGUCAUCAUAUUCUGAUAACUUUGAUCAGCAGAAGAUCGAUGAGAUGCUAGUUUUAACAGCCCCUGAGGUGCUAGGGCGACAUAGGAAGAAAAAUUAACCCUGGAUCAUCAAUAUCCUAUAUCUCUAUGACUGUCACAGACACUCGCGUACACGUAGACGUCUCACAUGCGCGCAUUCUUUUCUUCCCAAAGCAACUCUACCUCUUUCACAGGCCUGUGUACAUUUAAUGAUAUUAACUAAAUUUAUGCUACAGUAGCAAAUAAAAAUACACGAUAUAUGUAGAAAAUGAUUUAUCAGUAUACAUCCCUCAGUCAAUUCUUACAACUGUCUCUUGUGUUAAUAUCUCUGACUGUAAAGAUAGUCCUAAAAAAAAA